rnacentral:rRNA from 1 species
UACGGAGGAUGCGAGCGUUAUCCGGAUUUAUUGGGUUUAAAGGGUGCGUAGGCGGGAUGCCAAGUCAGCGGUAAAGAUGCGGUGCUCAACGCCGUCGAGCCGUUGAAACUGGCGUUCUUGAGUGGGCGAGAAGUAUGCGGAAUGCGUGGUGUGGCGGUGAAAUGCAUAGAUAUCACGCAGAACUCCGAUUGCGAAGGCAGCAUACCGGCGCCCUACUGACGCUGAGGCACGAAAGCGUGGGUAUCGAACAGG